rnacentral:tRNA from 1 species
GUUAUUUUAGUUUAGACAAAACCACACAUUUUCAAUGUGUAAACGGGACAAACCCCUUAUAAUU